rnacentral:rRNA from 1 species
UACGGAGGGGGCUAGCGUGGUUCGGAAUUACUGGGCGUAAAGCGCACGUAGGCGGACUGUUAAGUCGGGGGUGAAAUCCUGGGGCUCAACCUCAGAAUUGCCUCCGAUACUGGCAGUCUCGAGUGCGGGAGAGGUGAGAGGAAUUCCCAGUGUAGAGGUGAAAUUCGUAGAUAUUGGGAAGAACACCAGUGGCGAAGGCGGCUCACUGGCCCGUAACUGACGCUGAGGUGCGAAAGCGUGGGGAGCAAACAGG